UACGAGGGGGGCAAGCGGUUGUUCGGAAUUAUUGGGCGUAAAGGGUGCGGUAGGAGCGGUCUGGACAAGUCUGAUGUGAAAUCUAAUGGGCUCAACCCGAUAGUCUGCAUCGGAAACUGUCGGGCUGGAGUAUGGGAGAGGUGAGUGGAAUUUCCGGUGUAGCGGUGAAAUGCGUAGAUAUCGGAAGGAACACCUGUGGCGAAAGCGGCUCACUGGACCAUUACUGACGCUGAUGCACGAAAGCUAGGGGAGCAAACAGG
rnacentral:rRNA from 1 species